UACGUAGGGAGCAAGCGUUGUCCGGAAUCAUUGGGCGUAAAGCGCGCGUAGGUGGCCUCAUAAGUCCGCUGUGAAAGUCAAAGGCUCAACCUUUGAAAGCCGGUGGAUACUGUGAGGCUAGAGUACGGAAGAGGCGAGUGGAAUUCCUGGUGUAGCGGUGGAAUGCGCAGAUAUCAGGAGGAACACCAAUAGCGAAGGCAGCUCGCUGGGACGUUACUGACACUGAGGCGCGAAAGCGUGGGGAGCAAACGGG
rnacentral:rRNA from 1 species